rnacentral:misc_RNA from 1 species
AACUUUCGACAACGGAUCUCUUGGCUCAGGCAUCGAUGAAGAACGCAGCGAAAUGCGAUAAGUAAUGUGAAUUGCAGAAUCCAGUGAAUCAUCGAAUCUUUGAACGCAACUUGCGCCCUCUGGUAUUCCGGAGGGCAUGCCUGUUUGAGUGUCGUGAACACCUCAACCCUCUAAUGAUUUUGAAUUGAAGGCGUUGGUAGUUAGCGCUGCCGGUCUUUUGGUCGGCUCGCUUUAAAAUAAUUAGCUGGCUCCAUUCUGACCUGGUCCUACUCGGCGUAAUAAGUUAUUAUCGUCGAGGACGCCUAGCCUUCUAGGCAGGCGGCAACAGUAAGGGUGUUUGCACCGCUUCCAACGCGUCUUGCUCUUGUAGCAAACACUUGAGCCUCUGACCUCAAAUCAGGCAGGACUACACGCUGAACUUAAGCAUAUAAAUAAGCGGAGGCU